UACGGAGGGUGCAAGCGUUAUCCGGAUUUAUUGGGUUUAAAGGGUCCGUAGGCGGAUCUGUAAGUCAGUGGUGAAAUCUCACAGCUUAACUGUGAAACUGCCAUUGAUACUGCAGGUCUUGAGUGUUAUUGAAGUAGCUUGAAUAAGUAGUGUAGCGGUGAAAUGCAUAGAUAUUACUUAGAACACCAAUUGCGAAGGCAGGUUACUAAGCAACAACUGACGCUGAUGGACGAAAGCGUGGGGAGCGAACAGG
rnacentral:rRNA from 1 species